rnacentral:rRNA from 1 species
AUUGAACGCUGGCGGCAGGCCUAACACAUGCAAGUCGAACGGUAGCACAGAGAGCUUGCUCUCGGGUGACGAGUGGCGGACGGGUGAGUAAUGUCUGGGAAACUGCCUGAUGGAGGGGGAUAACUACUGGAAACGGUAGCUAAUACCGCAUAACGUCGCAAGACCAAAGAGGGGGACCUUCGGGCCUCUUGCCAUCGGAUGUGCCCAGAUGGGAUUAGCUAGUAGGUGGGGUAAUGGCUCACCUAGGCGACGAUCCCUAGCUGGUCUGAGAGGAUGACGAGCCACACUGGAACUGAGACACGGGCCAGACGCCUACGGGAGGCAGCAGUGGGGAAUAUUGCACAAUGGGCGCAAGCCUGAUGCAGCCAUGCCGCGUGUAUGAAGAAGGCCUUCGGGUUGUAAAGUACUUUCAGCGAGGAGGAAGGUGUUGAGGUUAAUAACCUCAGCAAUUGACGUUACUCGCAGAAGAAGCACCGGCUAACUCCGUGCCAGCCGCCGCCGUAA